CCUCCCCUCCCUCCUUCCCUCUGUUCUUUCAUUUUCUUUCAUAAUUCAGAGCAGGUGGAAUGGUACAAAUCUGUGUUCUGGGGACCAGAGGUGUAGAUUAUGGUUCUGGCUUCAGUUCUGCCAUUUACCUGGUCAGAGCAGAACCCAUGUGUCCUAGAACCCUGAUGAGAAUUAGAAUGACAUGGGCUACAAAAGCAUACACACAUUUUAAGGAAUUGCUAAGAAAGAAAAGGAUGUGAACAUUUACAUCACAGAGCUUUCUGGGCUGAGCAGCAUAGUCCAUGUGAUCUUCUUAAACCAUUGCCAUUGAGCUAAUGGGAACAAGGAAAUCUUAGCUCCACUCUGGCCAGUGAACUGGCCUGGGAUGACAGGCGUGAGGAGGGCCAGGCUUUUGAAAUUUUACUGAGGUGACAAUGAGACUACAGAACCACAAAGUAGGGUGAUGUGAAAUCCCAAUAAAACAAAAAGAUGAAAGGCAAAAAGGCAUCUUUGUUACUGCUACCAGUUUGACAGGGUUGUGUGUUCCUCUCUUGCUUUUUCAUGAUAAGGUGUAGAUCAGACACAAUUUUAGUUAAGAGAACAUUAGCAGGUUAGUUGGAAAAAGUAUAUUGGACCCACUAUAAGAAAUUUUUCGUCAGUUUAUAUAUAGAUAUAUUUGAAUGUUAGGGAUUAAUAACUGUUAUUACUUGUAGAAACACAAUUGAUACAAUCAAUAAAUAUAUGCUAUAUAUUACUUUGAAAUUUACAUAACUUUUAAAGUUAAUAUUCUCGCAGGUUAUGGGCUUUUCGUGUCUUCACUAUGUUGGUAAGGUCUAUAAUAAUGUGUAAUUUUCAAUUUUUUUAGAGACUAUCUUGUUCCAUGCUUGCUGUGUGCAUGCUCACCACCUCCAGCUGCACUUGCUGUGUGCAUGCAUGCUCACCACCACCAGCUGCACUGGCUGUGUGCAUUCUCACCACUUCCAGCUGCAAUUGCUGUGUGUGCAUGCUCACUACCUCCAGCUGCACUUGCUGUGUGCAUGCAUGCUCACCACCUCCAGCUGCACUUGCUGUGUGCAUGCUCACCACCACCAGCUGGACUGGCUGUGUGUGCAUGCUCACCACCACCAGCUGCACUGGCUGUGUGCAUGCUCACCACCUCCAGAUGCACUUGCUGUGUGCAUGCAUGCUCACCACCUCCAGCUGCACUUGCUGUGUGCAUGCUCACCACCACCAGCUGCACUGGCUGUGUGUGCAUGCUCACCACCACCAGCUGCACUGGCUGUGUGUGCAUGCUCACCACCUCCAGCUGCACUUGCUGUGUGCAUGCAUGCUCACCACCUCCAGCUGCACUUGCUGUGUGCAUGCAUGCUCACCACCUCCAGCUGCACUUGCUGUGUGCAUGCAUGCUCACCACUCCCAGUUUCAUACAUCAUAGAUAAGUGAUACUUGCUUCAAAUUCAGUGAACACAGAACCCCCAGUUACUCAUGUCAAGGGAAGCGGUGUCAAAGUCAUGGCAAGUUCAGGUUUAGGUGGAAUGUGUUAGUUCUUUCUCCAUGAAAAGCUGCUCACCACUUUGAAGGCAGCUUACAGAUAUACGUUCAUGGCAACUUUUAAAUGCUUAACAAAUGAACGAAUUUUGAUUUAAAGAUCGUAUAAAUACACACUCAAAGGUUGCAGUUGAAAAGUGUGCCUGUCACUAUGUGAGAUGGAUGGAAACACUAUUUCUACCUGCCAACUUACAACCAAGUAACGAGAAGGUUGAAGGCAGAUGGUGGUGUCUUGUAGGAGACUGAGUGGAGUUUUCUCUUUUUAAGUUUUAUUUCAUUUUCUGAGAUGUGAAAACAGCAUUUCUUUCCUUGCUCAAGAGGAAAAGCCCUUAAAUAUAUGGGUUGCAAACACCACUUCUGCUCCAGGUGUCUUCCCAGAGCCAUGCAAGCAUCUCUAGCAUCAGGUGAUCUUGGAAGAACCCAGAGUUCCCACUAUGCCUGCCUCACCUGGCUGAGGUACAUCCUCUGUACACCAUGUGCUGGUGUCUUGUUACUAACCAGAGACAGUCACACAUGUGAGCCAGCCCCAGGGAAGGAACCGUCUAUGGUACAGUGCUGAACAGAGUUUUCCACUCCAUGUUUGGCUUGGCCUGGUCCUUGUGGUGUCUUGCCAAACCUGCAACCUCCUGUCAGGAGUCAUUCAGCCCUGGAUGGGAAAUAUUCCUCAUGCUGUUGUCGGAAAGCUGAUCUUUCAUGGUAAGCCUGGCGGGAUGUCUAUUUGGCCAGACCCAAGCAGGGAGAAGCCAGGUUUCCUCCUGUAAAGAACUCGUCUGCAGCGGAUGGUACUUGUACUAGCAAAAAUAUUUAGGUUUGUGGUGUUGGCCAAGCUGCUCCACUUAAAAAAUGAGAAACUCAUAAACGUAGAACUGAAAACCUCUUUGCUUAAAACCGAGGAAGCCAGUGACUAUUUUAGUUUAGUAGCCAAAGUAAAAACAAGGUGCUGUACAGGAUGCUAUCUUAGAAAUAAAAGUUUGUGUUUGGGUCUGUCACCUCCGAGAGUCAGGAAAUCUCCAUGAUGUGAGAGAGGCAUGUGAGCAACUGUGGAAAUGCCAAAGGACUAUUUGUCUUAGGGUGUGUGGGAUCUACAUUGAAUCCCUGGGCUCAAGUCUCCCAUUUGAUGCACAGCAAGCGAAGUCCACACAUUAAUUCAGGAGGCAAACAGUACAUUUUCCUUAUACUGGGCCCAUAGCUUAGUUUAAUUUUUAUAAUUGUAUUAAACUUUUAUAUGUAUGCAUGACAGACUGCUUGCAUGCCCGACUGUAUGCAUGUGCACUGUGUGCAUGCAGGUGCCCACAGGGGGCAGAACAGAGAGAGCAUUCAAAGCACUGAACUGGAGUCUCAGAUGGCUGUGAGCUGCCAUGUGGGUACUGGGAACCGAAUCCAGGUUCUCUGCAGCAGCCAGUGCUCUAAACUGCUGAGCCAACUCUUCAGCUCCAUAGGUCCAGGAUUACUUUUAAGGUAAAUACACAGAUGAUAGACACACAGUUCAAUAGAUGAUCAUGGAACAAACAUCCUCAUACUCCUCUACAUGUGUCAAGAAGUAAAGCAUUUGUCAGUAUCCCAAGGCCUCAUCUUGUACUCCCCAGGGCCACAGUUUCUCUGCUCCUAUCUUCUCUUUACAUAGAAUUUCAAAAUGCAUAUAAAUGGAACCAUACAGUGGGCACUUCAGCUGUCAUUUUAUCUAAAGUUAAGUAUCUAGGAUACAUGAUUUAAUUCUAAGUGCCAUUAGUUGCCAUUCUCCAUCAUAGAGAGUAUUCAAUCAUAUGAAUAACAUCUUUGGUCUGUUCUGCUAUAAAUGGGUUUAUGAUUCUUAGGCUCCAUGUGUCUGUUGUUGUUGUUGCUGGUGGUAGUGGGGUGUGUAUGUGUAUGUGUGCAGCUGUGAUAUGUCACUGCCUGUACUAGUUUGCUUUAUGUUGCUAUGAUAAACUCCAUGACCAAAAAUAAUUCGGGGAGGAAAGAGUUAUUUUAGUUUGUAUGUUGUCAUUCAUCGCUGAGGGACUUCAAAGCAGGAGAGUGAAGCAGGGACCACAGAGGAAUACUUAAGUGCUGGCUUGGUCCCAGACUCAGGUUCAGUUCCACUCCCUUUCUUACACAACCCAGGCCCCAUCUGCCUGUUCCAAAUUUAUGGACAGAUUCUAGAUUACCUACUGGAACAUUUUCUCUCUAAUCUGUACACUUCACUCUGUAGUCCACCUAGAAUAGUAUUUUGGGUGUGUGAUGAGAUCACUAUUAAAUUGCCCCCCUUUUCUGUAUGGAAACAGCUGAUUCCAAGCAUGUCCAGAUGAUCAUUCCUUCUGCUCCUGCUCUUCAUGACCACCUUGUCAUGCAUCAGCUGUCCACGCAUGUGUUCUGAGCUCUGUGCUGUUUGACUUCAGUGUGUGUCUCCAUUUCCACUAUAUUCUCUUGGUUUCUUGACUUUAUAGCUUAUGUUUUCCUAUAACUUAUGCUCCAGGUACAGGAGGGGAUGCUUUUGUACUUUUGAUUUUCUACAUAAAUGUCACAAUCAGCUUUAUAACUGCAAUAUAUUUAGAGAUUAACUCGGAGGGAAGUGGACAUACAAACACAAUGUAUUUUCAAUCCACGAAACAGAAAUUAUUCUUCUGCUUCUUUCAUUAAGCUUUUGCAUUUAUUUGUUGUGAAGCACUAUAUCUAUUGUUAGAUUUGUUGCAGAGGCUUUGGUGUUUUUUGCUUGUUUGUUGUUUUUCCCCCCUCUGGUGGUUUUUAAUGAUCUUCACAGGCUAAUCCCUCAGGAGCAGAUGAGAGUUACUUUGGUGACCAGGCAAGCUUUGGUGACUCCCAAGGAACCACUGCCUAUGGAAGGGAGGGAUGGAAGCAGAGUCAGGCAAAGGAAGAAAGAUAAUUGCAGAACAAGUAUGCCUUGGGCAAUCCACUGAGGUAGUCUAAGCAAAUAUGGUCUAUCAGAGAGUCCCUUGGUGGGUUGAACUGGUUGAAACUUUUUAAUGCUUGCAGCUGUAGGAUGUGGCUCACCCCAGAAAGGUGUAUUCUUCUGGGAGGAGGCUCUUUGCAGAUGUUGCUCACAGAACCCUUGGAAGCUAGAGUGAUAGGACUUUCUUUGGAACCUGGUGUCUAGGUGUGUAGCAUCCAGCAGUUGCAGUGUGGCUGUCACAGAUGACCUUUUAUGCUGCUCAAACCCUCUUCUUCAUGCAUUCAAGCAACAGCUACUCUGGAGCUGUGAUGGAUCUGUCUUCCUGGAGGAACUCAGAACUCAGUAGAGCCAAUACCCUAUCCAUGCAGAUAGUGCCAGCAUGAACCAGAUAGUCCUGCCUUCCUCUACCACAUAAUUCCAGAUCUCUCCAAAGCCCAGCACAGCCCAACUGAAAUUUACUCAGGAGUCUUUUUUUCUUUGUCUUCCUGCUCUAUUCAAGUCAUGCUUGCUUUGCUUUUUACAACCAAGAGGUACCUGGAGAUGCCCAAUGUUAUUUCUACACAAUUACACCUCUGUCUAAUGAUCAGGGGUAACUAUUCUUGCAAAGAUGGCAGCCCUCCUUUUUGCCUGCUGGCCCCAUCCCUGGGUAUAGUUUGGAGUUGAAAAGGUCUGUGUUUCAAUUCUCUGAUCAAGUAGGAAUAUAGAUCUCUUGUGCUGUGGGGAUGAGGAAGGAUUACAAAGUCACAGAGGAGGUCAUGAGGAGUGAUGGCAGUGGGGGUGUUGUUACUGUAUUGGUUAUGAUCCCCUUGGAUUUUUCAGAUAAAAUACAAUAGUUGAGUUUUUUUGGUUCCCUGUGGAGACUGCCUUACUAAGGGUGAAAUCCUAACCUCACAGACUGAACUGGUGAUUCAGCUGUGACAUUUAGCAAUACUGGGGACUUCAAGCACCAAGGCUUGAGAAACUGUUGCUGUCAUGAGUUUACUCUUAGACCAUCCACAAAACAGUCCAUUCUUCUCUGAAAUGAUAAUAUGCAGGUCCUGUGCUGGUGAAGUAGACAUUUUGUAAGAACUCAGAAGCAAAGGGCAGGGAAAACAAAUUCACACCCUGAAUAUGCAUCUCUUUAGCAGAAGUGAAAUCACCCUCUGUUUUAGGUUGUGAGAAUCCUGUGCAGAACAAAUAAAAAGUCUAAAUAUAAUAUAUUUAAAAAUCUGAAAAUUGCCGUGUGUUGGUUGCGCACACCUUUAAUCCCAGCACUCAGGAGGCAGAGGCAGGCAGAUCUCUGUGAGUUUGAGGCCAGCCUGGUCUCCAGAGCGAAUGCUAGGAUAGGCUCCAAAGCUACACAGAGAAACCCUAUCUUGAAAAACCAAAAAAAAAAAAAAAUCAGAAAAUUAUAAAAUGUCUUGAAAUGAAUAAUGACAAAGGUAGGCUGUAUUAAAACUCACGAUAGAGCCAAGAGAAAAAUUAAUAGUCUCAGUUGUAUACACUGAAGGAUAAAAGCUCAAACCAACAGCCUGCCCUAUCAAUUCCAGUCAAUAUACAUCUAAUUAAAGUGAAAGAAUAGAAGUGCAGCCGCCACCGUGUCCUUGUCCAAGUAGUGUCUUUGUCAUGUUAGAUCUAUCCUAAAAUGAUAGUGUGGUUUUCCAGACCCUCUUAGAGCCACAGAUUUAAACUCCUUCUAUGAUAUAUAGUGAAGCUUCAAUAAAUCAGUAUUAUUUUAUUCAAUAAAACUUGAAUUUGUCCAUAUUUUAUCCUUUUUAUUAUUGAUCAUUUUCCCUCAGUUCCCACACUUUCAUGUGGGAUAUUUUUCCUUUGGCCUGUAGACCUCUUUUGGCAUUUAUUUUAGAAAAGUACUUAAAAAACAGUCCCCCUCCCUCAGAAUUUGGCUGUUAGAAGACAUUUUUACCUUGUUUUCUUUUUUUAAAAAUAGUGUAUUUUUAUGUUAUUUACAUUGGUGUUUUGCCUGCAUGCAUGUAUCUGUGAAGAAUGACAGUGUUACGAUAAAUCUUUUUGCCAAAAGCCGCCUGAGCCCCACAGCCACGUGUGAGCUUUACACCAGCCGCCCGCCCGAGUUAGGCCCAAAUGAAUACACAGAGAGACUUGUAUUAGUUACAAAGCUGCUUGGCCAAUGAAUAGGAUUCUCAUUUGUUAGCUCAGUCUCAAUUACCAUACAUCUAUAUAUUUUAUGGGACUUAUCUUAUCGGACGCCUUAUUGGCGUCCCUCCUUGCUGGUGAAUCACAUCGAGCCGCUGGAGCAGGAGCCGAGGGGAAAAGAGGGACACUUCCUUUU
rnacentral:lncRNA from 1 species